rnacentral:lncRNA from 1 species
GCUGACGGUGCAGGACGUGCCACGCUCCGUGCUGGGGCUGUGUUGAGCCAGGGCUCUGCUGGAAGGGCUCUGGAUCGCUGCCAUCAGAGCCAAAAACUCCUUGGCCAGGUAAAAUCUGAUGUGACAUCACGUGCAGGGCGUGUCUGGGUGUGUGGCAGUGGCACCCGUGUGACAACACAGGGCGCCUGGCUCCCCUGAGCCACGUCUCCACGUCUUGGAUUUGCUCUGUGUGCAUCAGCCAAAAGUACAGCGUUUUUUGGUCAGUUUCAACUGAAUGUGAAGGUUUCUCUGCUGCCUUUUGGAGUGCAGGAUGGAGACAAGGAAAGCACUAAAAGCAGGGAUGAACUGAGCCUCUGCUGUCUGCAGACAGGAGUAUAAAAGGAGGAAAAUGCCAGAGUGGCUCUGGCUGCCACCAUCCACGCAGCCUUCACUGUGGAUCCAUCCACCCAUCUCUCUAUCUGUGUUGUUUUCCCGUGUUCUGGAAAUAUUAUGAUAAUGUAAAGGCUCCAGAUGUGACCAGCCACUGCGAAGUGGCGAGUUGUUUAUCAGCAUCCUGCUCCGCAGACGGGCACCUGUAAUUCCACUCGCGCUUUGCAUCAGCAGAAUUAAGAUAUCCAGGAAAAAAAACCAACAAAAACAGGGGGAAAAAAAAAAUCAAACCCAAAACUCCGCAGGUUUCUGCGUUUUGAGGCAUAAACAGGGACAGUGCAAAGCCCUGCCUGACGCCCUCAAGGUGGUGAAUUCAGUUGUUGACAGAAGCCUCCAGAUAAAACUCCUGUACUCAAGGGGCAGAUCUGUAUUUUCAGAAAGUCACCUCCAUGUUUGUGUGAAGCACCUGCCAAUUAAUAUGCUUAAAAAUAUCACUGGAGUUAUGAGCUGAUUCGGGCUGCUGGCAUUAAUGAGAUUUUUUUUCCCUUUGCGAGCUCUGGAUGAGGCUUUAAGGCAAG